UGGGGAAUAUUGGACAAUGGGCGCAAGCCUGAUCCAGCCAUGCCGCGUGAGUGAUGAAGGCCUUAGGGUUGUAAAGCUCUUUCGCCGGUGAAGAUAAUGACGGUAACCGGAGAAGAAGCCCCGGCUAACUUCGUGCCAGCAGCCGCGGUAAUACGAAGGGGGCUAGCGUUGCUCGGAAUCACUGGGCGUAAAGCGCACGUAGGCGGAUCGUUAAGUCAGGGGUGAAAUCCUGGAGCUCAACUCCAGAACUGCCCUUGAUACUGGCGAUCUCGAGUUCGAGAGAGGUUGGUGGAACUCCGAGUGUAGAGGUGAAAUUCGUAGAUAUUCGGAAGAACACCAGUGGCGAAGGCGGCCAACUGGCUCGAUACUGACGCUGAGGUGCGAAAGCGUGGGGAGCAAAACAGGAUUAGAUACCCUGGUAGUCCACGCCGUAAAACGAUGGAUGCUAGCCGUUGGGGGGUUUACCUCUCAGUGGCGCAGCUAACGCCUUAAGCAUCCCGCCUGGGGAGUACGG
rnacentral:rRNA from 1 species